rnacentral:ncRNA from 1 species
UAGGCAGUAUCCGAAAAGCCAGAACAGAGUAGGAC